GUGGACUAAUUUUGCAGCGCAAAUUGUCAUGUUUCACAAACCUGGAUUUUCCCCCUUUUUUAAGUUGACAAGCUUUUUCUUCAUCAUUGCAACAGAUCCAUCCGAAAACAUUGUAAAUGUCGUUGACAGAGAUUUCCUUUUCAAUUCCAUUGUUUUGGAGCCUGUUAUUAUUUAUGCAUUUAAAUAUAUCUUGAAAUUGGACAAGGC
rnacentral:misc_RNA from 1 species